CAAGCACCAGGGUUUGGGGAGAGGUCAAUCAAGGAUGAUGGGUAGAGGCACAGCACAGGGAUGGGGGGCUCUGGGACAGAGGUGGGGGUAUGGUGGGAGCACGGGCACAUCAGAGACACCUACCUCUGCAACCCCGAGAGGACAGUGUGAAAAUGGAGAGAAACAUGAGAUGAGGUGAAAUGGCACAAACUCAAAUACACGACAUGGAGUGGGAUGGGUGAGGAGGGCGGCUCCUGCCCCCACCCUGGGAGGUGGCCACCAGCUCUGGCGCGGCCUGUGGCAGGAGGGCCGCGAGACAAGGGCCAGGCCUGGGAGGGGCUCAUGCGGGGCUGGGUGGGUGGGGACGUAC
rnacentral:lncRNA from 1 species